ensembl:misc_RNA Metazoa_SRP Metazoan signal recognition particle RNA
GCCAGGCAUGGUGGCACAUGCCUGUAAUCCCAGCUUCUUGGGAGGCUGAGGCAGGAGAAUCACUUGAACCCGGGAGGAGGUUGCAGUGAGUGAUCUCAAUCACACCACUGCACUCCAGCCUGGGUGAUAGAGUGAGACUCUGUCUCAA